GGGGUGUCUUGGCUAAUGUGUCUUGGCUAAGGUGUCUUGGCUAAUGUGUCUCGGCUAAGGUGUCUUGGCUAAUGUGUCUUGGCUAAGGUGUCUUGGCUAAUGUGUCUUGGCUAAUGUGUCUUGGCUAAGGUGUCUUGGCUAAUGUGUCUUGGCUUAGGUGUCUUGGCUAAGGUGUCUUGGCUAAGGUGUCUCGGCUAAUGUGUCUUGGCUAAUGUGUCUCGGCUAAUGUGUAUUGGCUUAUGUGUCUUGGCUAAGUUGUCUUGGCUAAGGUGUCUUGGCUAAUGUGUCUUGGCUAAUGUGUCUCGGCUAAGGUGUCUUGGCUAAGGUGUCUUGGCUAAGGUGUCUUGGCUAAGGUGUCUUGGCUAAGGUGUCUUGGCUAAGGUGUCUUGGCUAAGGUGUCUUGGCUAAGGUGUCUUGGCUAAGGUGUCUUGGCUAAUGUGUCUUGGCUAAUGUGUCUCGGCUAAGGUGUCUUGGCUAAUGUGUCU